rnacentral:misc_RNA from 1 species
AACGCACAUUGCGCCUCCUGGUAUUCCGGGAGGCACGCCUGUUCGAGCGCCAUUACAAACCCCAAGCUCUGCUUGAUGUUGGGCGAGGCCGGAGACGGCCCGCCUGGAACACGUGGGCGCCGCCGCCGGACCACGAGCGUAGCAAGACUUCUGUCAUUUUCGCUCGGUGGGAUCGGACGGACGGUCUGCCAGCGUGCGUACGCGAGUACGUGCAAACAACUAUAUCCAAGUUUGGCCUCGGAUCAGGCGGGGAUACCCGCUGAACUUAA